GGCAGCGUAGCUCAGUCGGUUAGAGCAUCGGAAUCAUAAUCCGAGUGUCCGGGGUUCGAGUCCCUGCGCUGCUACCA
rnacentral:tRNA from 1 species